UGGCGCCUGAACAUGGGGCCCUGGGCCACGAGGAUCUGGAUGAAGUGCACCAAGAAGAAAGCCAGGCCUGGUAGAAGCGGAAGGGACGGCCCAGGAUCGUCCUGGUAAGUAAUACAGAGAUUACUUACUAACAUUUUAGUGUGGCUUAAUGGGACAGCAAAUGAGUAAGCAUGAACUAUUUGUUCAGGGACUUAAUGAUGCCCUUAAGACACGCGGAGUUAAGAUUAAGAUCAAGCAAUUACUUUCUUUCUUUGAUUUUCUGAAAGAGGUGUGUCCCU
rfam:Tupaia chinensis contig212976, whole genome shotgun sequence.